rnacentral:rRNA from 1 species
AGCGAACGCUGGCGGCGUGCCUAACACAUGCAAGUCGAACGUGAAAAGGGAAACCUGAGUCCCGUGGCGUACGGGUGAGUAACGCGUAGGUAAUCUACCCCAGAAUCUGGAAUAACCUGCCGAAAGGCGGGCUAAUACUGGAUAGAGCGAGGGAACUCGUAAGAGAGUUUUUCGGGAAAGGGAGCCCGCAAGGGCCUUCGUUCUGGGAUGAGCCUGCGUCUCAUUAGCUAGUUGGUAAGGUAACGGCUUACCAAGGCGAUGAUGAGUAGCUGGUCUGAGAGGAUGAUCAGCCACACUGGAACUGAAACACGGUCCAGACUCCUACGGGAGGCAGCAGUGGGGAAUCUUGCGCAAUGGACGAAAGUCUGACGCAGCCACGCCGCGUGAGUGAAGAAGGCCUUCGGGUUGUAAAGCUCUGUCGGAUGGGACGAACAUCUUCAUAGUGAAUAGCUAUGAGGACUGACGGUACCAUCAAAGGAAGCACCGGCUAACUCCGUG